rnacentral:tRNA from 2 species
UUGCCGUUGGUGAAGCGGUUGGUGUCGCGGUCGCUGUUGGGGUUGGCGUUGGUGAUGCGGUCGGCGUUGCGCUCGCCGUUGGGGUCGGUGUUGGUGAA